rnacentral:rRNA from 1 species
UACGUAGGGGGCAAGCGUUAUCCGGAUUUACUGGGUGUAAAGGGAGCGUAGACGGCAGCGCAAGUCUGGAGUGAAAUCCCAUGGCUUAACCAUGGAACUGCUUUGGAAACUGUACGACUUGAGUGCAGUAGAGGUUAGUGGAAUUCCUAGUGUAGCGGUGGAAUGCGUAGAUAUUAGGAGGAACACCAGAGGCGAAGGCGGCUAACUGGACUGUAACUGACGCUGAGGCACGAAAGUGUGGGGAGCAAACAGG